AUGGAAGAAGUGAACGACAGCCAGCUUCCGAUGGAGCCGCUUCACUACCCGGCGAUGGCGACUGAAGCUGAGCAGCUCCCGCCCAUGGCGACUGGUAGCGUUCAGGGGCAGAUCUGUGCGGCCGAGGGGGGAGCCAUAGGCGACGGGGAAGCCGAGCCGCAGGCAUCUGAACAAUCAAUUGGACAGAUUGAUCCUGAGACUCCAGGCUGGACUCGCAGGGUUAGAAUUGGAGCAGCUGCACCCGGAAGGGCACCUUGCCGUGGGCGAAUCAGCGCCCUUGAGAAGGCGAUACGGGGGUUUGCUGAUCAACCAGGGGACAUGGUAAUUGUCCCAGCACUUGGUACAAGCUUCGAUACACUCGAGGAGGCAUAUGACUUUUACAAUCUCUACUCGCGGGAGAAGGGUUUUGGAAUGUGGGGAGUACAAAGUGCAAGCAAGAAAUUGUUUGUGGCUGUGCGGGAAAAGCUGGAGUGGAGAAUACUAGAGCUUGCCGAUGCGAGUGCCCUGCACUGA
rnacentral:rRNA from 1 species